rnacentral:tRNA from 1 species
GCCCUCGUGGUGUAACGGUAGGUCACUCGGCGCGUAUUCGAGCAGUCCAGGUUCGAGUCCUGGCGAGGGCA